rnacentral:rRNA from 1 species
GAUGAACGCUAGCGGCAGGCCUAAUACAUGCAAGUCGAGCGGCAAGUUGAGAAGCAAUUCGAGACCUAGAGCGGCGUACGGGUGCGUAACGCGUAUGCAACCUACCUCAUACGGGGGGAUAGCCCGGGGAAAACUGGAUUAAUACCCCAUAGUACAUAUAAAGGGCAUCUGAAAUAUGUUAAAGAUUCAUCGGUAUGAGUUGGGCAUGCGUCUGAUUAGCUAGUUGGCGGUGUAACGGACCACCAAGGCGACGAUCAGUAGGGGUUCGGAGAGGAAGGUCCCCCACACUGGCACUGAGAUACGGGCCAGACUCCUACGGGAGGCAGCAGUAGGGAAUAUUGGGCAAUGGUCGGAAGACUGACCCAGCCAUGCCGCGUGCAGGAAGAAGGCCCUCUGGGUUGUAAACUGCUUUUAUCUGGGAAGAAAAGGCCCGUGCGCGGGACAUUGCCGGUACCAGAUGAAUAAGCACCGGCUAACUCCGUGCCAGCAGCCGCCGUAAGAC